AGUGAACGUUGGCGGCGCGGAUUAGGCAUGCAAGUCGUGCGGUAAGGCCCCGCAAGGGGCACACGAGCGGCGAAAGGGGGAGUAACGCGUGGAUUAUCUACCCCCGGGAUCGGGACAGCCGCGGGAAACUGCGGUUAAUACCGAAUAACGUCUCCGGACCAGAGGUGUGAUCGCGCCGGGGGAUGAGUCCGCGUUAUAUUCGCUUGUUGGUGAGGUAACGGCUCACCAAGGCCACGAUGGGUACGAGGUGUGAGAGCAUGACCGCGCUCACUGGGACUGAGACACUGCCCAGACACCUACGGGUGGCUGCAGUCGAGAAUCUUCGGCAAUGGGCGCAAGCCUGACCGAGCGACGCCGCGUGCGGGAUGAAGGCCUUCGGGUUGUAAACCGCUGUCGGAGGGGAGGAAAUGCGCGGGGGUUCUCCCUCGCGUUUGACCUAGCCUCAGAGGAAGGACGGGCUAAGUUCGUGCCAGCAGCCGCGGUAACAC
rnacentral:rRNA from 1 species